AGAGGCCAGAGGACAGCAGCUGUAGAAACCAGAAUCAUCCGGUGAUUGGGCGUUGUCGUGUGUGCUGGGCAAACCGUUCUUACUGAACUGCUUCCAUGCUGCCCUGGAUGUGCUGAACGCUGCCGGUUUCUAACUUCUCACUGUCAAACACAAAGAAAGCAUUUGCCCCAUAAAGGAUGCCUGUGACUACAUGUGUUGCCAAGCCCUUCUCAAUGACAUCUAUCUGUUGGGUGUUCAUGGUUUCAAGAUACUUGGCAGAUCCUCCAACUUCAACCAGUCCACUCAGGAAACUGGCCUUCAGAGAAGCUUCAACAUCCAGCAGAGAGGACUUGGAUUCAAUGGAGUCAGAUGAAGUUAUUUCAAAUUCACUGCUGUGCU